AAUAUAUCCCCAUUCCCCUUUCACGUUCUUCUCUUCGGUUUCAGAAAGAAGAAAUCGUUCUUCCUUGCCUUUCGCCGGCGGCAACAACGACCUAGCGUGGUGCGGUGGUGGAUCUCCGGCAGCCUAGCCCGCUUCUCCAACCAGCAUGCUGAUUUCGUUUUCCUCUUCUCCUUAUGUCCUUGUUGAUUUGUUGAGAAGAUUCAUUUCCCUUCAAAUUCAGUACACUCCCUGGCGACGUAAUUUGUUGCUGCCCUGUAUCUCCUAUCUGACUGGUGCGGUCUAUUCUUUUUUCUGUACUGUGUACUCAGCCUGCAUAGGCGCUGGUUUAGUGGUGUGGGCUGUGGAAUUUCUGUUACAUGGCAUUUGCGAUUUCCUUUUUUUGUUUCUUUCCAGCUUUUCCUCCACUAAACGGUGUUGUAGGGGAAGAUCAGAAUAGGUGAGUUUUUCCUGCAAUCUUGACGGUUUUUACAACUUCAGAUGACCUGGAACUUGUUGAGAGAAUGCUGGAUUUGAUUAAGGUAUCUUACGUUCCAAGAUGCAUGAUGUACUUAAAUGUGAAAAUUUUGAUUCGUCCAAACAAACUUCACAAGUUUCUUUUUUAUUUUGUCAACAUAUUAUGUUGGAUAAGCACCAAAAGUGUGUGGCAUUAAAUGUAUGCUUGCAUGUCAAAAAUGGUUAACUAUACCUACACAGCCAAACUUGCCAUUUGGUAUGUAUAAGAUUGUCUUUAAGUGAUCCUGGGAUUUGGGUUCUAUCUCAGUAAGAAGCAUUUGUCUGCAGCCAGAGUUACAAAGCAAGCCUCAAAAGGAAGCAUGAUGGUUCUCUUGCACCAUAGAACACACUAAAUAGUGAACAACCAAGUCAGGAUCACCUAGGUGCUCCGUGUAGAUGCAGCGCAUCCCUGGAACAGCAAAGUUUGGCAGAGCCACGCGAUACUCUGGGACAUAGUACAGACCAUGAUUACCGGUGAAUUUUUCCAGAGGGCACAGUUUUUAGUGGACAGCACAAUCAGGUUCAACUAGGGUCUCAAAGAAGACGUUUUAGGUAUCUGGGACAGAGAAGUCAGAAUCAACUAGAUUGUAGUCCAACAAGUAGUACUCCUUAUGGUCACCAGGGACAGCCAAGUCAGGCUCCCCUAAGGGAUCCACCUCCAGGAAAUCUUGAACUUGAUCCUUCUGAAACCCACAUUCCGGAUGAAAUUCAGUAGCAAGGGGAUUUUCAAUGCAACGGGAUUUUCUAUAAAAUUGAGUGUCAUUGCAAUUGUACAAGCAUUAGAGAGAAAUAUUGAACUUGCCUAACUUGCCUUCUGUGGUUCUAGCAAGAUUUUAAUUGUAUUGUACCAAAGGCCAUGUUUUUUUUUUCAAAGCUAGAUACUUUGUUCUCAUACUCCCAUUGAAAUAAGAGCAAUAAUAUUCUUGUGUAUAAUAUGAUUCUUCUCA